AGCAGCCGCGGUAAUUCCAGCUCCAAUAGCGUAUAUUAAAGUUGUUGCAGUUAAAAGCUCGUAGUUGAAUUUCGGGAUCAAUAUGUUUGGUCGUGCCUCGGUACGUACUAGCUUAUUGGUUUCUCCUUUCUGAAGAACCAUGAUGUCAUUCAUUUGGUGUCGUGGGGAAUCAGGACUGUUACUUUGAAAAAUUAGAGUGUUUAAAGCAGGCUCACGCUUGAAUACAUUAGCAUGGAAUAAUGAAAUAGGACGUUUGAUUCUAUUUUGUUGGUUUCUAGGAUCGACGUAAUGAUUAAUAGGGAUAGUUGGGGGCAUUAGUAUUCAAUUGUCAGAGGUGAAAUUCUUGGAUUUAUUGAAGACUAACUACUGCGAAAGCAUUUGCCAAGGAUGUUUUCAUUAAUCAAGAACGAAAGUUAGGGAUCGAAGACGAUCAGAUACCGUCGUAGUCUUAACCAUAAACUAUGCCGACUAGGGAUCGGAUGAUGUAAUUUUUAAUGUACUC
rnacentral:misc_RNA from 1 species